GCCACGGUGGUCUAGUGGUUAUGGCGCUCGACUGCUGAUCGAAGGUCGCGGGAUCGAAUCCCGGCCGCGGCG
rnacentral:tRNA from 1 species